rnacentral:rRNA from 1 species
AGGACGAACGCUGGCGGCGUGCUUAACACAUGCAAGUCGAGCGGAAAGGCCCUUCGGGGUACUCGAGCGGCGAACGGGUGAGUAACACGUGAGUAAUCUGCCCCUAGCUCUGGGAUAGCUCCGGGAAACCGGGAUUAAUACCGGAUACGACCACUUUAGACAUCUGUUGUGGUGGAAAGAAUUUUGGCUAGGGAUGAGCUCGCGGCCUAUCAGCUUGUUGGUGGGGUAACGCCUACCAAGGCGACGACGGGUAGCCGGCCUGAGAGGGCGACCGGCCACACUGGGACUGAGACACGGCCCAGACUCCUACGGGAGGCAGCAGUGGGGAAUAUUGCGCAAUGGGCGAAAGCCUGACGCAGCGACGCCGCGUGGGGGAUGAAGGCCUUCGGGUUGUAAACCCCUUUCAGCAGGGACGAAGCGAAAGUGACGGUACCUGCAGAAGAAGCACCGGCUAACUACGCGCCAGCAGCCGC